GUCCUAUUCUUGAAUUCUCAUUGGUAGAUACUAACAAACCGCCAAAAAUACUCGAAUCCAGCCAAUAAAAGAUGGCCAUUUAAUGACCAAAGGCCAAUAUCCGUUCAAGAUGGCCGACAAAACUAUACCUAUUUUUGUUCCAUCCGAAAAGCCUGUAAAAGUGAUAAAGUGGAAAGUAAAACAAGGUGCUUUUGUCUCGCAAGGUCAGAUUUUAUUUUUAUACAAUGAUUCGUCAGGCAGCAACACGGAUUUGAAAAAAUACAAAGCGGCGCGUGCUGGUACCCUAUCGUCGAUCAAGGUGAAGGAAGGAGACAUUUCAGAGCCUGGAUCCAUAGUAGCUGAGUUAGAAGCAUGUCUGCAUUCUACUGUGAUGAAGGAGAUGUGUGCAGAAUGUGGGGCAGAUCUGCGGAGCGACGACGGCCCCAAUCGAGACGUGGCUGUAGUACCCAUGGUUCACUCAAUACCUGAACUGAAGGUUUCUGAAGAAUUGGCUCAAAAACUUGGCCGUGAAGAUGCUGAACGCCUACUUAAGGACAAGAAACUAGUGCUGCUUGUUGAUUUGGAUCAGACGUUGGUGCACACCACCAAUGAUAAUGUUCCACCAAACUUGAAGGGUGUCCUACAUUUUUUCUUACGAGGGCCUGGCAGCCCUGGUCGCUGGUGUCACACCAGACUAAGGCCAGGUACAAAGGAAUUCCUGGAGUCUGCGGCUAAAAACUACGAACUCCAUGUGUGCACAUUCGGUGCAAGACAGUAUGCUCAUGCUGUUGCAGACCUUCUGGACCCUGAGAAAAAGUUCUUUUCUCAUAGAAUAUUGUCAAGGGACGAAUGCUUUGAUGCUAGAACAAAAGCUGCUAAUUUAAAAGCGCUGUUUCCAUGCGGCGACAACAUGGUCUGCAUAAUUGACGACAGAGAAGACGUGUGGCGCCACGCCACCAACCUCAUACACGUGCGGCCCUACUCUUUCUUCCAGUCCACGGGCGAUAUCAACGCGCCACCGCCUUUACCAGAAGAGAAAUCGAAACUCCCUAGUGGUAAAAACGGCGCACAAGCAUCAACCGCGAACCUACCCACCUUAGACGAAGAAACGGAACAAAAAGAUAGUGAAAAAGAUAAAACAAAAGAUAGUGAAACCAGUGAGGACAAAUCUGUUCCUGAAACCAGUGAGAAAGAAAGUGAAAAGGGAACAGAAAAAGAAGAAAAGGCCAGUGAAGAAGAGAAAAUGGAAGAAAGUUCAGAGCCUCAGUGGGUUGAGACUUCAGAUGGGCAGAUAGAAGUUGAAGAUCCGGACGAUUACUUAAUUUAUUUAGAUGAUAUACUUAAAAGAAUACACAAACAUUUCUACGACCUCUACGAGGAAGCAAAGAGCAAUCAGAUACCGGACCUAAAAUGCAUCAUACCCGAAGUAAAGAGCCAAGUGCUGGCCGGUGCUAGCUUGGUGUUCAGUGGGCUUGUGCCGACGCACCAGCGGCUGGAGACCUCGCGGGCUUAUCAAGUGGCCAGGAGUUUAGGGGCUGAGGUCACGCAGGACUACACGGAGAAUACCACGCAUCUGGUGGCUGUGAGAGCAGGAACAGCAAAAGUGAACGCGAGCCGGCGCUCUCACCGGGCGACGAAGCUGCACGUGGUGACGCCGGCCUGGCUGUGGGCGUGCGCCGAGCGCUGGGAGCACGUCGACGAGCGGCUGUUCCCGCUGCAGCGCGCCGCGCAGGUACCGUGCCGGCGCCGGCUCCGGCCGACUGCACGCGAGCCGGCGCUCCCACCGGCCGGCGGAGCACGUGGGGACGCCGGCCUGGCUGUGGGCGUGCGCCGAGCGCUGGGAGCACGUCGACGAGCGGCUGUUCCCGCUGCAGCGCGCCGCGCAGAGCAGCUCGCGGCGCCCGCCCGCGCACUGCAGCAGCCCGCCGCCGCCCGCGCCGCGACGCCGCACGCCCUCCGGCCGCUUCAUGGACACCCUCAACCCGCUGCUGUCCUUCUCCAGCGACGACAUCGCCGACAUGGACCGCGAGGUGAGCCCGCGCCGACGACACUCAGGCUGGGGACAUGUAGUCAGACGCCGCACGCCCUCCGGCCGCUUCAUGGACACCCUCAACCCGCUGCUGUCCUUCUCCAGCGACGACAUCGCCGACAUGGACCGCGAGGUUGAAGAUAUUUUUAAUGAAUCAGAUGAGAGUUCUUCAGAUGAGGAAACGAAAAAUCGAGGGGAUGACCUAGAUGACGAAGAAAAUCCACCAGAGGACAGACUAAUAUCUGUUGAAAAUGAAGACACAGAAGACAGAUUACUAAACAAAGGAGAUGAUGACG